GACGAACGCUGGCGGCGUGCUUAACACAUGCAAGUCGAACGGAAAGGCCCUGCCUUUGUGGGGUGCUCGAGUGGCGACCGGGUGAGUAACCCGUCUGUAACCUGUCCUUGCCUUUGGGUUAACUUAAGGAAACUGGGGCUCAUACCGGAUAGGAGCUCUUGCUGAAUGGUGGGGGUUGGAUAGUUUCGGUGGUUGGGGAUGGACUCGCGGCUUAUCAGGUUGUUGGUGGGGUAGUGGCUUACCAUGGCUUUGACGGGUAGCCGACCUGAGAGGGGGACCGGCCACAUUAGGACGGGAAUGCGGCCCAGACUCCUACGCGAGGCAGCGGUGGGGAAGAGUGCAUUAUAGGCGGAAGCCUAAUGCAGCAACGCCGCGUGCGGGAAGACGGCCUGCGGGUAGUAUACCGCUGUCGCCUGUGACGAGACGUGAGUGACGGUAAUAGGUAAAGAAGCACCGGCUAACUACGUG
rnacentral:rRNA from 1 species